rnacentral:rRNA from 1 species
UACGUAGGUGGCAAGCGUUGUCCGGAUUUACUGGGCGUAAAGGGCGUGCAGGCGGUCUGUUAAGUUCAGGGUGAAAGCUCCCGGCUCAACUGGGAGAGGUCCUUGGAUACUGGCAGACUUGAGGGAGGUAGGGGAGACUGGAAUUCCUGGUGUAGCGGUGAAAUGCGCAGAUAUCAGGAGGAACACCGAUGGCGAAGGCACGUCUCUGGGCUGUAACUGACGCUGAGGAGCGAAAGCAUGGGGAGCGAACAGG